AACGCACGCUGGCGGCAUGCCUAACACAUGCAAGUCGAACGAGCCCUUCGGGUCUAGUGGCGCACGGGUGCGUAACGCGUGGGAACCUGCCCUUAGGUUCGGAAUAACUCCCCGAAAGGGGUGCUAAUACCGGAUAAUGUCUUCGGACCAAAGAUUUAUCGCCUUUGGAUGGGCCCGCUUUGGAUUAGCUAGUUGGUAGGGUAAAAGCCUACCAAGGCGACGAUCCAUAGCUGGUCUGAGAGGAUGAUCAGCCACACUGGGACUGAGACACGGCCCAGACUCCUACGGGAGGCAGCAGUGGGGAAUAUUGGACAAUGGGCGAAAGCCUGAUCCAGCAAUGCCGCGUGAGUGAUGAAGGCCUUAGGGUUGUAAAGCUCUUUUACCCGGGAUGAUAAUGACAGUACCGGGAGAAUAAGCUCCGGCUAACUCCGUG
rnacentral:rRNA from 1 species